ensembl:lncRNA novel transcript
AGGCUCAGCUUCCAUCACCGCGUGGCGGAGCCCGUGUCCGGGCCAGUGCUGACUUUGAGACUUUUCUGAUGGUGACUCAUGAUAUGCAUGGAAGCAUAAGAAAUGCUCACACGAAACAUUCAGAAAACUAAACUUACCCUUACGGUAUAUGAUGCUGUGAUGGUUAACACUGAGUGUCAACUUGAUUGGAUUGAAGGAUGUGAAGUAUUUUUCCUGGGUGCGUCUGUGAGGGUGUUGCCAAAGGAGAUUAACAUUUGAGUCAGUGGACUGGGGCAGGCAGACCCACCCUCAAUGUGGGUGGGCACCGUCUAAUCAGCAGCCAACAUGGCUAGAAUAAAACAGGCAGAAGAACAUGGAAGGACUUGACUUGCUGAGUCUUCUGGCCUUCAUCUUUCUUCCAUGCUGGAUGCUUCCUGCCCUCGAACAUGAGACUCCAAGUUCUUCAGCUUUUGGACACUUGGACUUACACCAGUAGUUUGCCAGGGGCUUUUGGGCCUUUGGACACAGCCUGAAGUCUGCAAUGUCGGCUUCCCUACUUUUGAGGUUUCGGGACUCGGACUGAUCCACCACUGGCUUCCUUGCUCCUCAACUUGCAGACGACCUAUUGUGGGACUUUACCUUGUGAUCCUCCACCCAGCCCCACGGUGGGCCUUGCCUCGUCUGUUAGGUGGUAUUUUCAUCUUUGGUCAGAUGACAGCCCCCAUGCUCCAAAAAUUCUCCUGCAGCCAGGGCUUGGAGAAUCCCGACCCCUCUCUGGCAUGAACCUCUCCUCAUCCAGGGUGGCUUGUGUGGUAGAGCCAGGGGAAUGGAGAAGAUGACCUCUGAAGCCUGAAGGCUCUUUGGGAAGCAGGACACAAACAUCCUGAAGAGCCAGCCUUGAGCUGGCUGCACAAGAGACUCAUAGACUUUGCGUCAACAUCCACCUCUCCAGGCUGCAGUGGGUGUACCUGUUCACCACCACCUCCAGCAGCACUGUCGCAGCGGAGCAGUUCUUACAGCCAAUGAGCUUCCACACCACCUCCCUGCAGUUCUCUGCAACCGAGGCUCCAUCCUGCACUGAUGGGCUGCCUGACACGUCGGCCUCAACAAGCAUUUCCAGCACAUUCUCAGCUUUCCUGCUCUGCUGGGCAAAACACAGGGUGAGAAGGGGAGAGGAAGAACGGGACUGUGGCCCAGUUCUAGGCUUGGAGUCUAGCGAGGAACACCAGGUGCCUGCAUUAAAAGGAUGGUUGGAGAGACAAAAGAGGAAAAUGAAUGCUUCCACGAAGCUCCCUCUUUGUGGCAGAAUCAGUCCAAUGGAGAAAUUCUGAAAUUCCAGUUUUACAAAGUUCUUCAAACUUACCUCAAGGAUGGCACCAGCUGAAGCUCAGUUGCCCUGUCUCUUAUGCACCAGUGCAUCUGCCCCAGAAACUCUUAUCUGGGGCUCAGUUUGCCCCCAUGUGGUAUAAGUCCCUCCAAAGAUUCCAUUUCUAGUUACUCGUCUCAAUGUCACAAUGAGAAAUAUUUCUGCAUAUUUCCUGCAAAGCGUCUCAUUAAAGAAAGUAUUGGUUUGAUUCAGAAAA